rnacentral:rRNA from 1 species
ACCAUUUAGUACCGGAGCUAACGCGUGAAGUUGACCGCCUGGGGAGUACGGCCGCAAGGUUAAAACUCAAAGGAAUUGACGGGGACCCGCACAAGCGGUGGAUGAUGUGGAUUAAUUCGAUGCAACGCGAAAAACCUUACCUACCCUUGACAUGUUCAGAAGCCUGAAGAGAUUUGGGUGUGCCCGAAAGGGAACUGGAACACAGGUGCUGCAUGGCUGUCGUCAGCUCGUGUCGUGAGAUGUUGGGUUAAGUCCCGCAACGAGCGCAACCCUUGUCGUUAAUUGCCAUCAUUUAGUUGGGCACUUUAACGAGACUGCCGGUGACAAACCGGAGGAAGGUGGGGAUGACGUCAAGUCCUCAUGGCCCUUAUGGGUAGGGCUUCACACGUCAUACAAUGGUCGGUACAGAGGGUUGCCAAGCCGCGAGGUGGAGCCAAUCCCAGAAAGCCGAUCGUAGUCCGGAUUGCAGGCUGCAACUCGCCUGCAUGAAGUCGGAAUCGCUAGUAAUCGCGGAUCAGCAUGUCGCGGUGAAUACGUUCCCGGGUCUUGUACACACCGCCCGUCACACCAUGGGAGCGGGUUCCGCCAGAAGUAGGUAGCCUAACCGCAAGGGGGGCGCUUACCACGGCGGGGUUCGUGACUGGGGUGAAGUCGUUCCAAGGUAACCGUA